rnacentral:rRNA from 1 species
AGUCGAACGGCAGCGCGGGGCAACCUGGCGGCGAGUGGCGAACGGGUGAGUAAUAUAUCGGAACGUACCCUGGAGUGGGGGAUAACGUAGCGAAAGUUACGCUAAUACCGCAUACGAUCUAAGGAUGAAAGCAGGGGACCGCAAGGCCUUGUGCUCCUGGAGCGGCCGAUAUCUGAUUAGCUAGUUGGUGGGGUAAAGGCCUACCAAGGCAUCGAUCAGUAGCUGGUCUGAGAGGACGACCAGCCACACUGGAACUGAGACACGGUCCAGACUCCUACGGGAGGCAGCAGUGGGGAAUUUUGGACAAUGGGCGCAAGCCUGAUCCAGCAAUGCCGCGUGAGUGAAGAAGGCCUUCGGGUUGUAAAGCUCUUUUGUCAGGGAAGAAACGGGUGAAGCUAAUAUCUUUGCCUAAUGACGGUACCUGAAGAAUAAGCACCGGCUAACUACGUGCCAGCAGCCGCGGUAAU